GUCUCUAGGCCAGUGGUUCCCAAACUUCCUAAUGCUGCAACCCUUUAAUACAGUUCCUCCUGUUGUGGUGACCCCCAAAUGCAAAAUUAUUUUGUUGCUAUGUUAUAACAGUGAUGAGGAAUCAAGAUAAGGAACCUUGAGAAGACAGCUCUCUUCUCAAACCCUUCUGGGAUCUAAAGAAUGAGGAAUUAUGACCUCUGUUUGUUUUUGAUUUUGUUUUUGUUUUGUUUUAUCUUCUAAGGUUUGGGGAAUUUCCCAAGAGGGAAAGUAAUUCACAUUUUGGAAGGAAAUUGACAGCAGGGUUUUUGCCCAGUGAAAAUGUGGAGUGUGUAAGGGGAGACCGACUGUCUUUGAGGUAGGAUGUGGGACAGUUGCUGGAGGAGCAGUUCCAGGUAGCUCUAGUGUGAGCAUAGCAGUACUGAUCCGCCAUGAAGGGUCAAGAUGGCAUGAUAAACUUCGGACAGAGCCAGGACGGAAAUGCAGCAUCCUUCGAGUUCCAGGAUGCCGUCUUCCCCACUGCCUAGCCUGUAGAUACUGGGCUGUCAGGCUGGCUCUGCCUUUGAGGGCUCAACAUCCCUACUGCUGAUGGUUUCCUUAUGUAUGGCCCAGGCCUGGCAAAUGCAGUUACUGGUGACAUUGUGACCAGGGCUGAACUUAUUUACAGUAACUACCCCCACUUCUCCAGUAAGGCACUCCUGGGUAAUUGAGUGGACCAGGCAAGAAUUAGAUCUGGGCCCAUGAUCUAUACAGCCUGCCCGGAGCUUAAUCUUCGUCAAUUAUCUCUAGCUAUCAUGCUCCUCUUGCAAGAGGCAUCCCGUGAGGCCUUCAGAAGGCCAACCCAAGGGGCAGCUUCAGAUCCAUUCAGAAGAGGACCAAGGAGCAGCGCUGCCUGUCGCCCCAAAGCAAGAACCACCUUGUGUGGUCUCAGACGUUAUUUACAUGAGUUCAGCAUGCCCUUCACCCUCAGCUAGAUCUUCCAGCCCUGAUCUACAGAGGAAAGGCCUCUUUUCUCUUCAUCAAUGGAUACAUCUAUGUAGCUGGAUACAUCUACGUAGAUGGAUACAUCAAGGAUCACAGGGACCGUGCCUGGCUCACCUCUCUGUCAGGCACACAUUACCCAGUGCCCAGCAUUGUCAAACUGCAAUCAAGGGACAGACAACAAAGUCUUCCACCUAGGUUCCUUUAGCCCCAUUUCCUAUGUCACUUUGACUCUCUGUAAUUUGGUCGUGUCUGGGAAAAGUGGGAUGUGUUUGUUCUGGAGUGGGCUUGGAAGCAAGGUCUCUGUGCAAAAAGAAAAGAAAACAAAAACAAAAAACCCAAACCUUGUAUCUAAUGAGAAUACUCUUGUACUCCUCGGGAGAGUCUAACCGUUUGAUGAGUGUGUUCAACGCUUUAGCUAUUUGGCAAUAAAAAUAAUUUUUGUUUCUCUUUCGA